rnacentral:lncRNA from 1 species
CAUUUGUGUGGGAGCCAAGAAACCCUGCUAUGGGGCAGUGGUCAGAGACCUUUGUCGUGCUUUGAAAGGGGCUGGGCUGGGCUGGGCAGGGCAGGGCGGGUCGUGGCCCACCUGGGGCCACAGUUCAGAGCCACACUUGGGUCUUUGAGGCUGCCCACCCUCCCAGCUGCCAGCAUGGGGUUGGGGGGUGUCCACCCCCAUCAGACUGAGGAGGAAACGGACACUGUGUCACCCAGAAGCAUCCCUAUGUCACCCUGUGAGGCUGGCCUUGGACCCAGGACUCUGGGCGCCUGGUCAGCACCCCAGUGUGAACACAUCCUGCCCUGGGGCCUGGUCCCAGCAGCUCACACAGACCAGGGCUUGCCCAAAGGCAGGUAGGCAGGGCCACUGCUGACCAUGCACCUGGUGGGCCGUGAUUCUGGAACUAAUGGUCUCUGCCUGGCAGGGAGGCCGCCAGGGCCUCUGGGCUUCACCCCUCCCAACCUUCACAGGGGACCUCACCUCAGUGGGAAUGUUCUGGAGCCGGAACCCAAGGUUGGAAUCCCAGCUCCUCCCCUUUCUAGGGCAAGCUCCCAGCCUGUCUGUACUCAGUCUCCCCAACUGUCAAAUGGUAAUAAAACAGUCCUGUCCUCACUGAGUUGUUUGGAUGGGUGAGCAUCAGGUGUCUAGGGCACAGCAUGCUGUGAAGGAGUUAGGAGGGCCAGGUGAAGGAGCCAUGCAGGGCCGGGCCUCCUGGGUAAUGGGGCUAAGAGGAGAAUUCUGUAUGUGGUUCUGAGAAGGAGCAGAGUCCAGCUCUUUUGGAUGUUUGUAUUAGGAAAUUUACUAGAGACCAUGUCACUGCUCCACUCGGAAUCCUCGGGUGGCUUCCCAGUGCCCUUGACAUGGAAUCAAACUCCUCGCUUGGCCAUGCAAUCCGGGCCUGGUAUCCUGGCCCCCUCCCCAGUCCACUGUGGUUGGCUGUGCUGGCCUCGGGGAUCCCAGGCCCUCCACCCUCAUGCCCCACUGAGCACUUGCACCUGUGUCCCACCUCCAGCCCUCACCAGCUGUCCUCCAGCUCUCAUCUGUGAUGCAUCCGCCAGACCUCUGCUCCCAGCCUGCCCUCUCUAAUCUAUAAUCUCAUUUUAUUCUCUGUGUGAGCAUUCAGACUGAUGCUGCCCUGUGCCCGUGCCUGUCAUCAUCCCAGCACACGUGCAGUGUCCCAUAAAUACUGCAGAAUGACUGAGUGAUCAGACCUAGAGAGCCCCAGCCCUGGGUCCACCCUCACUGUGCCUGCACGCGGUGCCAGAGGAGGGCCUGGCCAGGGUAAGGGGCUGUCCAUCUCCUCCCCUGGCCAGUGCCACCGCAACCUCAGCAGUGAGGCUGCAGCUGCCUCGUGGGGAGCCCCUUCCCCUCAUGUCUUCAGCCGCACCCUGGCCCAACAGCCACUCGAGCUCCCUAGUGAGCCAAGCAUUUCUUGGGGACACCAAGAAACCUUGCUUGGUGUCCCCUGCCCAGGCUCCAUGCUCCCGAGAGAGAGAAGAAACUCCACCCUCACCGUCCACGCAGCUCCCCAGGAGUGUCAGAGGGCAGAGGAGGGGGCUCAGGGCCGCACAGCAGAAUGGCCCCAAGGGAGGGAGGGACGGGCCUAAGAACCAUGGGGUGGUUGUCUCACUGGAUGUCCACUCAGUCUCCCACUAAGAAAGCCCACUAGGAAUCAGAGGCAGCAAGGCUAAUGAAAGUCGGUUCUCACAGCAGCUGGGCAGGGAGGAUUCACCUGGGCCUGGGUCCUGCAGCCCUGCUCCUUUGACCCCGUGCCAGGGCCAGCUCUGCACACUCCAGUCCCGGGGCUCGGCCUUUCCCCUAACCAGUGAGUGUGGGCGUCAGUUCGGGCUGCUGUAGAAGAGACCACCAAUCCAGGGCCUAAUCAAUGGAAACUCGUCUCCUGGUUCUGGGAGCUGGAAAUCUGAGGGUUUGUGGCAUCAUCAUCCCCUGGAACUAUCCCCUGAUGAUGCUGUCCUGGAAGACAGCUGCCUGCCUGGCUGCCGGGAACACAGUGGUGAUCAAGCCUGCUCAGGUGACCCCACUCACAGCCUUGAAGUUUGCAGAGCUGACAUUAAAGGCCGGCAUUCCCAAAGGUGUGGUUAACGUCCUCCCAGGAUCUGGUAAGAGCCAUUGUCGGGGGCAGGGCUAGGGCUUCUGGCAGCUGGAGAUGCCACUGGGCAGAGCAGGCCCUACUGGAUAGUGGCGUGAGGGCAGAGUAGCCUGGGGAGAGCCCAGGCGGGGGCCAGCCUGUGACAAAGGAGGCCCCUCCCAUGGGGGAGGGCACCCGCACCUGGAAGGGCUUUCGUCUUCAGAUGCCCCAGCUGAAUGUAUUCCAGUGUGUGUGUGUGUGUGUGUG